rnacentral:misc_RNA from 1 species
CGAAAUGCGAUAAGUAAUGUGAAUUGCAGAAUUCAGUGAAUCAUCGAAUCUUUGAACGCGCCUUGCGCUCCUUGGUAUUCCUUGGAGCAUGCCUGUUUGAGUAUCAUGAAAUCUUCAAAGUAAAUCUUUUGUUAACUCAAUUGGUUUCUACUUUGGUAUUGGAGGUCUUUGCAGCUUCACACCUGCUCCUCUUUGUUCAUUAGCUGGAUCUCAGUGUUAUGCUUGGUUCCACUCGGCGUGAUAAGUUAUCUAUCGCUGAGGACACUGUAAAAGGUGGCCAAGGUAAAUGCAGAUGAACCGCUUCUAAUAGUCCAUUGACUUGGACAAUACUUUUAUGAUCUGAUCUCAAAUCAGGUAGGACUACCCGCUGAACUUAAGC